rnacentral:rRNA from 1 species
GCCAGACUCCUACGGGAGGCAGCAGUGGGGAAUAUUGCACAAUGGGGGGAACCCUGAUGCAGCGACGCCGCGUGGGCGAGGAAGUAUUUCGGUAUGUAAAGCCCUAUCGGCAGGGAAGAAGAAAUGACGGUACCUGAAUAAGAAGCACCGGCUAAAUACGUGCCAGCAGCCGCGGUAAUACGUAGGGGGCGAGCGUUAUCCGGAUUCACUGGGUGUAAAGGGAGCGUAGACGGCCAAGCAAGCCAGGGGUGAAAGCCCGGGGCCCAACCCCGGGACUGCCCUUGGAACUGCAUGGCUGGAGUGCGGGAGGGGCAGGCGGAAUUCCUGGUGUAGCGGUGAAAUGCGUAGAUAUCAGGAGGAACACCGGCGGCGAAGGCGGCCUGCUGGACCGCGACUGACGUUGAGGCUCGAAAGCGUGGGGAGCGAACAGGAUUAGAUACCCCCGUAAG